GAGCCAGCGGCGGGAGCAAUUAACCCUUCCUUCGUUAGGGCUCCUUUGCACGCUCAAGUGAGCACAGCCACCCUCCAGCAGUGCUGGCUCCGUGGCCCGGCUGCAAGUUGGUGCUGGCUUCGAUCCAGGUGGCCUCAGUGUGGCCUCCCGGCACCUCGCAGCCACCCACUCCGGUUCUGCAAACCGUUAGCACUUUCUUCCCUCGUGGUUUUCUCGUCCGUUGACAGAGACGUGCAGGAAGGCAGUGCGAGUUAGCCUGGCCAGGAGCCAGAAGGCAAAGGGCAAGAGGAGACCGCCAAGCGCCUUCGGUGCUUAAACACUGCGAGGUUUAAAUGGGUCCAGGGCUGAAGUCCUAAUAUUUGAGAGGGUGGCACUGGUGACCCUGGAGCUAUUGAGCGCUGAUGUGAAUUAACACACUUUGCUCCCAGCUCUUGUGCUCAUAGGAGAGGACCAGGGAGGUCAAAGCCUCACACAGCCCGACAGCGUCCUGUGGCCAGGGGGGACCCGCAACUCCAGUGCCAGGGCUGGGGGGGGGCCGGUGGCGUGGACGUCUGUCCCGCCUUGGGACAGGACCCCCGGCCCCUCCGCUCUGCCGACGAAAGCAGGCGCUGCGGGGAACAAAAGCCACAACGCAUCGGCCAUUCCCAUCCGCUACUGGUCCCCGGUCAUUUUUGUGGCCCUUGCUUUGCUCGUGCUCUUCCUGACCUACAGGAGGACCCGUGGUGAAGAAAGCAACGACCAAGCGGCCUCGGUCAGCGACGACUCAGACCUGGGAGCACCAGCCAACAUCCCUGUCCGUGACACGGCCCCAAUAAUCCCUCCUGCCAAGGAGGAGCAAAAGGGGCUGGAGAAACCCCCAACCUGGGACUCAAGUGAGCCGGAUGCCCCCCUGCCGCAGCCGCUGCCGCCCCAGGUAUUUUAACCCUCUUUGGACGUGCAGCCCGACGGUGCACGGUACGCUUUUGGGCUAAACAUGGGACUGCAGAGCGGUGCAGGGACAUCCUUGAGCUUACCCAGCUUGCCAUGCACUGACUGCCACAGGCAUUUCCAGCCCAUGCUGGUCCCCAGAGGAGGGUCGAUGCUUCCCAGGGGCUGCCUGCACGCAGCGGUGCCCUGAGGCCUCUCGCUCCCCAACCUGGGAGCAGGGCCUGAGCUUGCUUCUCUCUCACCCGAGUAGCCUGCUGAGGCAGCCGGCAGCCCCCGCUGCCCCGGGGCACCUGGUGCUGACUGAGGGCUCCCAGCAUGGCCAAAGCCCACGGAGAAACCGGCAGCUUGGACACACCCCGAGGAGGCGGCGAGGCCACCCGUGGGGCGAUGGGCAACGCGGCUGGGCUGUGCACGCACAGCGAGGAUGCUCGCGGCCGCCCGGA